CCUACGGGGUGCAGCAGUGAGGAAUAUUGGUCAAUGGACGAGAGUCUGAACCAGCCAAGUAGCGUGAAGGAUGACUGCCCUCUGGGUUGUAAACUUCUUUUAUAUGGGAAUAAAAUGUUCCACGUGUGGGAUUUUGUAUGUACCAUAUGAAUAAGGAUCGGCUAACUCCGUGCCAGCAGCCGCGGUAAUACGGAGGAUCCGAGCGUUAUCCGGAUUUAUUGGGUUUAAAGGGAGCGUAGGUGGAUUGUUAAGUCAGUUGUGAAAGUUUGCGGCUCAACCGUAAAAUUGCAGUUGAAACUGGCAGUCUUGAGUACAGUAGAGGUGGGCGGAAUUCGUGGUGUAGCGGUGAAAUGCUUAGAUAUCACGAAGAACUCCGAUUGCGAAGGCAGUUCACUGGACUGCAACUGACACUGAGGCUCGAAAGUGUGGGUAUCAAACAGGAUUAGAUACCCGAGUAGUC
rnacentral:rRNA from 1 species